ACGUAGGUGGCAAGCGUUGUCCGGAAUUAUUGGGCGUAAAGCGCGCGCAGGUGGUUAUAUAAGUCUGAUUUUAAAGUUCGGGGCUCAACCCCGUGAUGGAUUGGAAACUGUAUGACUUGAGUACAGUAGAGGUAAGCGGAAUUCCCAGUGGAGCGGUGAAAGGCGUAGAUCUUGGGAGGAACACCAGAGGCGAGGGCGGCUUACUGGGCUGUAACUGACUCUGAGGCGCGAUAGCUAGGGGAGCACACGG
rnacentral:rRNA from 1 species